AGAGGAAUCUUUACAUAAAGACCCAGUUGAGUCCCAGGAAAACUCCUGGACCUAAGAAACACUUAUUGUUUAAGGACACAAAAUCAGUGUAAUAAAAGUAGCCUUCAUUUGUGGAACAGUGCACUCUCAGAUGAGGACAUUAGGAGAAACAUGUCAUUCAAAAUAAUGUUCAAAGAAUUAAGAGUUCAGGGGUCGCCAGGAGGCGGGGCCAGCGCGGCUGCUGGGUGCAGGAGGCGCCUUUGGAGCCGGCUUGGCUUGGGAGCAGUAGCUGAAGAGUUGGAUCCAGGGCCGUCCUUGCUGCCGCGUCUGCUUUUGGUCUCUGGCCCUUCCGCGGGAUGGCGCGCGGGGCGACACUGAAGCGGCCCAUGGAGUUCGAGGCGGCGCUGCUGAGCCCCGGUUCCCGGAAGCGGCGACGCUGCGCCCCUCUGCCGGGGCCCCACUCCGGGCCUCAGGUCCCCGGACGCCGAGCCGCCACAGCUUCAGAUCCAGACGCCGCCGGCGAGCCUCCAGCAGCCUGCCCCGCCUGGCAGCGAGCGUCGCCUUCCAACUCCCGAGCAAAUUUUUCAGAACAUAAAACAAGAAUAUAAUCAUUACCAGAGAUGGAGACAUUUAGAAGUACUUCAGAAAGUCAGCCUUCCUCCUCGGCACUUACCGCACCAAGUUCUCCAGGUGCUUUCUGGAUGAAGAAGGACCAGCCCACUUUACCCUUCGACAAGUGGGGAUAAUAUGUGAGCGGCUCUUAAAAGACUAUGAAGAUAAAGUCCGAGAGGAGUAUGAGCAGAUCCUCAGUACCAAACUCGCAGAACAGUAUGAAUCGUUUGUGAAAUUCACGCAUGAUCAGAUCAUGCGGCAAUACGGGACAAGGCCAACAAGCUAUGUAUCCCGAAGCCUUCUUGCCUAUCUAGGUACCAGGUGUGACCUCAAGAGAUGGCUGCUGUACACUUUUUGCAACUGGUUUGACAUCACAUUUCAGCUCCAACUUUGCACCCUGAGAACACUUAAAUGUUUCUGCAGGUCCGUUUUAUACAACUUGAAAGACCUUAAAACUUUCUGGUUGCCACAAGCAUAUCUUUCUUUUCUGCUCAUCUACUAAACAGCUGUGCCCUACUGCGAUAGGUUUUCCAGACAAAGUAUCUGGAACAGCAGUCUAGCAAAGAAUGCCUUCAGUGGCACUCAACACGUGGAGUCUCCCCAAGCACAGCUCUGUGAGAAGUGUGAGUGUGUGCGUGUGUGUGUGUGUGUGUGUUUUAAGUUAUUAUUUGUAUUGUGCAAAAAAAAUGAUCUUGGGGAUUCUGGCUGUGAAUUUGAUGCACGACAAUUAUGGUUAAAAACAUUUUCUUGGUCUACAGAAGAUCAUUAAUGUUUGGUGACCAUAUAGGUUGUAACAGUGGGUUGCUUAUUUGUAGGUAUUAUCGUUAAAUACAGGGACAGUUUCCAGGCACAGAAUUUGAAUUGUAAGUUAGGAUGGGCAUUAGAUGUGAUUAUGAUGAUCUAGGGAAGGUCUGCAGUCCUGAAUCUGCAAAUACGUGGUGAGAAAUUAGAACAAACUGGAGACAGGCUAUCAGUACAUGGACUCUGCCUAGCUGUGCUGGAAAAAUACUUUGACUCCAAGCCUUAAAAUAUCCUGUGGAGUCUGAGCUCACCUCAUUCAUACAGUCACGGAGCUCCCUGAACGCUGAACUUCUACAGGGAAAAGAUCUCCCCUGGAGCGGAAGAUCAGGGUGUCCCCAGAGCACGUAAGGAGUGCAGUGCAGGGCUGGGCCAGGCUCACAGCACUGCUACCUGGGAGGAGCCGCUCACCUUCGCAUCAGUUUCAACAUAGAAUCUGGACCCUUUGUCCAGGUCACCCCAAACUCUCCUGAGGUGUCCGUGUUCAACCCUUAGAGCUUGGUUUUGGCAAUACCCCGCCUGAAGUUGCUUAUUGGCUGUUCUUUGCCUUGGUCCCAAGGCUGUGAGCAGAAAGCAGCCUCUGGUUUGAGGAGGUGGGAUUUAAGUAUACAUUUAUUUUUACUGUGACUUGUUCAGGACCACACUUUACAAAAUGCCUUGUUUCCUUUACGGUUGUUUUGGAAAGGAAAGUUUUAUGAAAACUGUUUUAGUUUGAAUAUAGAAUAGUUAUAUUAAUUACGGCUUUAUUUUGGAAAAAUCUUGAGUUUUAAUUCAAAUGUUUGCCAAUACUUCCAAAGUAAGGUGAUAUUCAGAGAUAGUGGUGAUCAGCUGGCUUGCGGACAUUUCUGGGGUAUUCACAUUUGAAGAUUCCUUAUUAAUGAAUGUCUUUGACUUAAAUCUAACCAAAAACUACAACAUUAUUCUUUGUACAUUUUCAUUAUAUAGUGUUAACAAGCUUAGUUUUGAACGAAUAAAAUAUUUAAGCUAUUUGUUUACCUUGCCAAAAAAAAAAAAAAAGAGUUCAGGGAUCUAUCAAAUCAAGGAAAUGAUAGAAGUCUAUGUGGCAACCUUCAAGGUACUGUAGUAAGAAAUCACCUAAGAGGAUGUCAGAUGCUGGACCUAAAACCCUUGCCAGGACUGGCAGAGGUAAUAUUGUGAAAAUGGCCAUUCUACCAAAGUAACCUACAGACUUAAUGCAC